UGAUGACGAAACAGAUGGUUUCUUAUCAGAAGUUGAUUUCCUUUAAUUUAAAGAACCACAUCAUAGUAGGGAACGAUUAGGGUUCCUUGAUUAUAGCCAGGCGACCAAGAUCCGACGAAAAUCAUUCUUGUUCGAUGAACCAGGCUUUAGGUCACACUCCGGUGAGAACUCCAGUAGGUUCCAGCAACCUACGAUUUGGUAGAAUGGUAGAUGAAAAUUGAAGAUUUGGAGCCUAGCCUUUAGAUACAACAAUAAUGCGAAAAGCAAAGAACGAACAUUGAAAGGUCAUGAAGGCCGCUACAUAGGUAAAGGCGUCGUAUAGGUUAGGGCGGCAACUGGCAACGGCAUACCGGGAAGACAAACAGACGCAGACGCUGCAUCAUCUUCUUCAACGGUUUAUAUGUAAUCCGUCGCGAAAGAGAAUAUUGUUUUAAUUGGUGAUGUGGGCUAGGAACUGCGAAAGGACUGGUUUAUCUCCACGAGUACUUAAGAGAAGCUAGAAAUGAAGGCAGGCGUGGUGGAUAUGGCGAUCAUGGGUUCGGGCGUGGUGGCUGUCUCGGUCACAUUUUAUGUUUGUAAAUUUCUUAAACAUGUUUCUGUACCUGAACUAUUACAUUUUUUAAUAGACAACAAGGUUCUCUGCUGCAUCAGAUGCUACACGGUUAAAUCAGGCAACUUUUGGAAUGGGUUUGGUUUGGGUGUGCUAAAACACUUUUUGGCAAAGAGCUUUAAGGCAACUGGAAGCAUUGGGACGGUUUGGAGCAUAUACUUCAUAUCUAAUUACUAACGGUAGCAGCAUUUUCUUCUCGAGGCCUGAAUAUAAAAGAUUAUAAAUUUUCCGACGUAGAUUAUUUGAAACUUGAAGCACCAGAUUCUUUGAACUGGCCUUUUUGGUCUCCAGAUGGAACCGAUGAGCCUAAUUAUGAAGAUAUGGAUCUUUGAGGUUUUCCAAUACCCUAGGAAGUUUGGUAUCAACAUAACGUGGAAGCGUGCACUAGCAUUUGUCGUGGGUACCACAAUGGUAUGUAGUAUGUAAGUAUGUACAUUAGUUUUUCUUAUUUUUCGGUUAGUUUGUUAGUAUUACACAGUUAAGUUUUCAGCCCGGAUUUGAGCCACUGCCAGUGUUGACACCAACUCUUACAGAGUGUGUGCCACUGAUUGGUGGCGGGCUAGCUUUCAUUUUUUGGGCAACUAUGAUAAUGAUUCUUCAACAUGUAGGCUACGGAAUACUAGGGAUGAUAUCUUGGGAGAAAUCCUUUUGAGUCUAUUUGAAUUUCUGCAGGGGCAACACUUUGGUUUCAGUAGUUUGUUAAAAGGUGAUUCAAUGCUAUAGUUAAUAAUGGUUGCUAAAUGCUAAAUUUUGAUGAGCUAUGUUUUAUCUUUUGACAAAAAUGCAAAUUUUGUGAAAAGUGGAAACUAUACAUGUCUCACUUUUAGUUAUACUUUUUUUUUUUUUUACAAAUAUUGGUAUUGCUCUAUUUUUAUGUACUAAACUAAGUUAUACUAUCACGUAAAGAUGCAUUGAAUAUUGAUGUCACAUAAAGUUCUACCAAGUUAUAAACAUCACUCGAGAAACUAAUCUUAAUUAUUGAUGAAAAUGCAAAUUUUGUGAAAAGUGGAACAAUUUAUAAUCUAAUAGACGAGUAUAAUGAUGUAAAUUAUCGACUCCGUCGCAACGCGCGAGUUUCCCACUAUAUAUAUAUACACAUGUAUUUUCUUUGGGCCUAGCCCACAUCAUUGUGUUAUUGGGCUUAAACCAAGUAUUUAUGUCAUUGGGCCUAGCCCAUGCCUUUAAGUUAUUGGGCCUAGCCCAUAUUCUUAUUGUAUUUGGGCCUAGCCCAAAUUCUUUAUUAUAAAUGGGUUUUUUCAUAAGUGUUUAUUGUAAUGGGACAUGCCAAUGUAUUUAGGAGAUUGGGCCUAGCCCAAUAUUUAUUAUUUAAGCCCAAAUUUUGUGUUCUUGAAUUUUUUGUAACCUUUACUAAGUGUAGAUUACUUAAUUAAACAUUCUAGUAACUUGUAUAAUUAUCCUUCGUGUCAUUUACAUAUUAAACUUUCCGGUUUUCAUUGUCAUUAGUAUAUAUAAAUUACGUGUCCAGAAAUAUUUUAUUUUUAGACUUGUCGUCGUAAUCGGUUAAUAUGUAACUUUUGUGUCGAAGUUGUCCAAACGUCGUAAUAACUUCUCGAGGUGCCGACACUUCCGUUUCUUCGAUGAAACAUACAUUGUUAUUUUGUCGACACAUAUAUGGUUAUGAAAAGUGUCGUCCGAUGUUCGUCGUCCGGUGUCUGCGUCUUGUUUUAUGAUAUCUCAUAAGAGUGUGUUUUAAGUGUUUGCGAAGGUUCGCGACCGUCGUCAUACUUGGAAAUGUUCGUGAAGUUUUUGGUUAUGGUGUAAGUGUAUAUUCUUCAUGUGUAUUGUACAUAAUAUUUUAGUAUGUAUUCCUAGCACUAAUACAUACACAUAUUAUACAAAUGUUAUACACCAAAUAAAGUAUACAAACUAUAUAAUUUUUACCACAAUUAUAUAAACAUACACCUAUUAUUUUUACCUAUUUAUUUAUAAAAACUCUUGGGUGAUUAAGGCUUAACCCUUUUCGUUAAAAUUCCUUAAUGAUAAUUAAGGUUACUAAUCACAUUUAACCCUCUUAAUCACCCCGCUAAUCUUAAUUUAAUCGCGAUUAGAUUUUUAGAAAAUUUCGCCAUAGUUUCCCCUAAACUAUGGUGUUUUCCGACGUUUUCAAAACGCGUUUAAAACAAUUUUUCAAUUUCCAAUCAUCAUCAAUUUACUAAUCUCUUGAAAAUACAUUUUCAAGUAACAAAUACUACAAUUUACUUCCAUACUUCAUGAGCUUUUAUACAUUAAAUUUCCUAAAAGUUUCAAGGCCUUUUAUGUCUUAAAAAGUUAAGACUUUUUUAGUGUAAUUUUUAUAACCAUUUAUUAAAUCACUUGUUUUAUUUGAAAACCAAGCUUAUCUAUAUAACUAUAUAAAGCAAAUGUGGUGUACAAGCAUGUAAUUUUACAUCGUGUCCAACACUUAAAGCGAUAUUUACAACCAAUGAAUGCUUGUUUUGUGAGGAUAAAAUUGAAAUAAGUGUAAAAUUUUAAGACACUAUAAGGGUAUAACAGUAAAUUACACCCACACUCUGUACUCACACACUCAAAAUCCUUUCCAGCCCACUUCCCUCAAUAAACCCAAUCGACAUCCUCAUAUCCUGCUCCGCCCCCUCUUUCACAUUCCUUUCAAUGAAUUCAUAAUGGAAACCCCUACAUCUACCCCUUUCACAUUCACUGCUUCAUCAAGAGACGCAAGAGACAGAGAGAGAUCGAGCAACCCACCAUAGUUUCCUCUCUGGAUCUUUGAAUUCCUGGAAUGGUCGCUCACGAUACAGGUAGGUUUAAUUUUUAUUUUAUGCUAAAAUAUUUCUCAGAUUUAUCAUCAAUUUCUAGGCUAUCUUUGGUUGUUUCGUUGUAGAUGAAGAUGGAGCGAGGGAGAUCAAAUUCACUGGCAAUAAUACUGGAGAAGUUUGAAUCUAUUAAUUCGUAAUGAUUCAUGAAUUGGGUUAUGUUGUGGAACGUCAUGAGUAUAUGGGAAGCUUUUCUCGAUUUCCUUGGAAGUUACAUACUCCCAGACAUUCGAUUUAUGCAUCAAUUGUGCUUCUAUUUUGUUUUAAUUUGGAUGUCUGGCUGUAUUGGGCUGAUUGCUUCUUCUAUUUUGCUUUUGAUUGAUUUUGGACAAGAGGCAGAAGAAGACCCUGAACAACUCUUAAGAAGAAGGUAUGGUAACUCCGUUGGUUCUCUCAUCUCUGUAGAUGUUGUCAAGCUCGAGGGUUUGAGAACUCUUUGUGGCUCAAAAUGGGUUGGAUUGGGUUGACCCGCUAUAAGUUUUUUCUGUUAGGUUUUUGGCUAUAUGAAAAAUGUGCCCAUCCCACAUCGGUGCAAGGAUGAAAGCUUGGGAGGACUACAAGCUUAUAAAAGGAGUCCAAGGCUUUGGUUUCAAAGUGCCCCAACCAAAAAUACACUUGAAGUGUUUGGUUCUUUCUUUCUUUUCUAGUUCUCUUGUCUUAGAGUGUAGGAAGGUUUUGGUUAAACGCUUCGGAGAAGUGUGGUUGUAAUUGGGCGGGGGGAGGCUUGAGAGAUUAGUCUGUGUGAUUGUAAAAAUUUGU